CGAUAACCGAUGGAUAUUAAAGCGGCGUUCAAUUAUAGCUGUGACUCGAUGUAUUGGAUACGCAUUGUUUAAACGAGUUCCCUAAUAAACUACUUCCUCUAUGACUUUCGUGCUUUCCUCUUACGACACGAACGAACCACGGUCGACCUCCGCGACAAUGGAAUGUCGCUUGUGAUCCCUGACGUCACGGUAUCUUUGCGUUUGUCAUCCCGCUGAAAAUACCAGCUUACGCGACACACUCUUAUUCUCCGAUGGGAUCGGUAUGUGUAUUUCUGCUGUGUCCGUGCUUCGAAUUCGAAUCUCCUUUAAAUACAUCUCUUCGUUAAUUGUGAACACCAGUAGGAUACCGGGAAAAAUAAAUCGCUACUUCGGCAUGUGUCUUCUUUUACACAAAGAAAUUACGCAUAAUCGAGGAACGCAUGGGAAAAGCGCGCGACUGGACAAAAGCUUUCUUCCCGCCUCGCCUACGCACGGGGGAUUUCACCGGUUAAAAGAAGAGAAGGUGAGGAAGAAAGAUGAUGAGGCGAAGAAGAGGGAGGAGAGCAGGUCUACGCGUUCACUUUCUCGUUUGAUGGGGCGAACUGUGUCGCCUGAAAACCGGGUCGUCGGAAAUAUCGCAGAGAAAGUGAGAGUACGAUCGACGAACCUCCCGUGAUCGUGAUGCAGCUGUUACUUAAACGAUCCUGUGGAUCGCGAUCUACCGCGACUUUUCACUCGAGGAAUAUCGGCCAGAGGGCAGCACCUGUUGAACCAAUUUUAUUGGAACAAGAAUCGAACUGCGAUCUUCUCUUUUCUCAACGAGCAAUUUAAAUCUUCGUGAAGAGAUUAUCGAACGUUUUUCAGGAAUGGGAAAAAAUGUAAGCAAAGAACUGGAAGGAAAGUGUGAAGAAGUAAAUGCUGCGCAACGCUACGUAAAUUGCAGUUACGGAACCUAGUUUCAAAGUUUAAACUGCGUGGAAUGAAUUUAUAGGAAGUAGUUAAGGAUAAUGGGUCGACCAGUACGUUCGAAAGAGAAAUAAUCAAAUAAAAUUAGAGUAGCAACUUCUAAACGAAAUCUACAGACUCGAAGCAACAGCAACGAAAUCUUACGACAGGAAACUUCUCCGUAUGAUUAUCCAACUCUGUUCAAACACCGAUAUCAACAAUUUCCAAUCCUCGCGCGCAUCAUUUUUUGACAAUUAUCUAAUUACUACUACACUCGUCUAUACAUUUACGAAAAAAUUAAAUGUACAAAAAUGUAAAGAAUCUUUGUCAUAAACAUAGCACAAAUAAUACACGGAUUUCACGUCGAACUUAAAAAAAUAUUCCUAUCAUCGCGUUUCUCUAUUUUCCAAUUUAUAAACUUGAUCGAUACUACUCUUCUCAGUGACUCGUAUAUUAAUCCGAAAUCUAGUUCACAGGAGCAUAAUUUCAAAAACAAACGCAGUUCGCUGUUUCGAAACAUCGACGAAUCAGAAAGUUCUACAUUCGCCAGAGUACACAUACACGCGUAUGUAUAUCAUCGGCGAAAGCGAACAACCGAGCAAUCAACGAGGAAUUUCAAUAACGUAUCAUUCCAUGAGCUUUCACACGAACGAAUACGAAGCCAGUCGGGUACAUGUCGCCUUCGACUUUCGAUUUAACCGGUCGCGUCCCCGCGUGGUCCAUUUUGCCCGUAGAAAGACGACCAACAGCCUCCGCUUGUACCGCGUAACUCAUGACCUAUUCACCCACUUUGAGUUUAGCUUAUUCCCCAUUGUCCACGGGCAGACAAUGAAUCCGUAGGAAUUCUUCUCGUACGUCUCCCUCGACAUUCUACUUUCGUCGAAUAGAAACAAGGUCGGCUGUUUUCCCGCCUUUGGCGAGCAUCAAAUCCCAUUCGCGUGCAACGAACGCUCGCGUGUUUAACUAGCUGCGAUGCUGCUCCACAUUAGAAAGUGAAUUGAACUUGCUCUGGCAGAAUGACAAAUGUGCUCAUCCACGUUUUACCACGGCUUCUGCUUGAGGAUUUAGAAAUAUUUAACGGUUAACAAGCAAUGUUAACGUUAACAGUAGUACUUGUACAGAGCAAAAAGGUCGAAGAAAGAAAUCUCACGGUAUUUUUUUAAUCCGUUAAUCCUUGAACGUAUUAAUCUCUUUAUUUACGAAUUUCCAAUCUUUUAGCGUUACGUUUCAUUUCCAUUAUACAUUUUUUUUUUAUUUAGUUGUUUACAUUCGCGAUUUGUCCGAUUUGAACAUUUGGUAGAAUUCCAUUAUAAAUAGAUCGUAUUUGCGUUUACAACGAUUAGAAUCGACCUGAAUGAAAUUGAUUUAUCUUUGUUGACUAUUAAUUCUGUGAUUGUAGAAGUUGGUGAUUAAGAGAUCCCCUUUUCGCUUCUAUCAAAUAAAUAUUUUUUCUAUUUAUAAAACAUACUGACAGAAUUUAUCUAGGGCGCCUCGUUAUCUACUCCGACGCAAAGAUAAAGAAAUAUUGAUUUUCAAAUCUUAACAGAUUAUUAGUUCUAUUCAUAGGAACCGUGUAUGUAUAUAAUUUUGUUCUGUAUAAGUAAACCUUGAAAAUGAAGAUAUUGGAGAGAGGCAAUAAUCUCGAUACUAAAUUUUGAUUGAAAGACGGUACUCGAAAAGGCGAAAGUUUGUUCGAUAAACGGUAGAUAGAAUCGCAUAGGACGAGUAACAAGUCUUCUGCUAUAAAUACGUUUCGUGUGAGACGUAGAAGCUGGCUGACCUUUAACCUCGAAAGGCAGACGGCCUGAAAGUUGAGUUCUAUAGAACCCGUGCGAGCAGACAGUACGGUAGCAUAUAUUUUGGAGUCAUGACCUACUUAAUCGUCCAAAGUGUGUUGCCACGUCCCUAUUCGAUCCCUUUUCGAAGGCCAUGAACCGCCAGAAUAAUACACACAUACGAUACCGAUCCGAAUAACACAUGAUACGCGUGCCACAUUCGUCGCUUCCUGACACCAUCGGCUUAGCAUAAUGUCGCUCUGCCUUUGUUUCCAUUUGGAAUCUAAUCGCACAACACGAUAGCGAUUCGGCGAAUAACAGACAAAGCUGAGUAAACCUACUUUGAGAGGAUUUGGAUAUUAGAAAGUUAAGAAGGAAGUAGUUGCUUGAUGGAAGAAAUUCGAAUUCGAAGAGAAAUUUUGAAACUUCUCUUUAAUCGUAAUGUGAAUUUUCUAGAAAUUGAUUUGAAUUUUUAAAUAUCUAUUUGAUCUUUUCGUAUAUAAAUUAUUCCAGACUUUGUAUUUCAAUUAUAUAAUUAUCAUUUGAUCAUUUCUAAUUCUAUUAUUCUUUAGAUUAUUAUUCCUUAGGAGUUCUAUAAUUCUAUAUUUCUUCCGUAACGAAAUUUCCUCUGUAUCUGCCUAUUGUUGCAAUUUCGCCCCUAACAGAAAUAUUUAAAAUUAGUAAAAUUCAUAAGAAGAUAGUUUCUAAUAAUUUCUCACUGUACUAAGAUCUCUUGCUUUCUUUCUCGCUCGACGAUAUUCGUCGAUAAUCUCUCACAUACGUUAUAUUGAGAUCCCUUAGAUUAUUUUCUACAUUAUCAUUUAUUUACGAACCUAGUAAUAUUUAGUAUUCAAUUUAGUGAAUUUUUUCCAGUCCUUUAACAAAUAAAAUUCGUAAAAAUAAAAGAAAGUAAAAGGAGAAAUACGUAGGUUCUUCCCACGGACGAUUACUUUCUUUCUCAUAUGCUGAAUUCUAGAGCCACGCGCAACAAUUUCUCGGUCUGUGACCGUAACGAUGGUAGAGAACGUUAAAACUAUAUCUAAAAGCAGCAACAUCUGUCGCAGUGACGCCAGGACAUCAGGUCGCCAGAACGGAAUUUUAUGAUCGAGCCUUCACCAUCGGUAAAACCGUCAGUUUUGAGAAAGAAAAGAAGUGAGAUCGUGUCGGCACACGACAGAGAGGUACGCGUUCUUGUAAAACGAUCAAGAGGAACGCAGAGGCGUCUUCCGGUUUUACAAGGUCGCCUGCGAGCGUGGCCCUCGCGUGUCUACUCGUGCCUCCUCGAGCUCGUCGUUUACAAGUUUAUGUAUUUGCAAGUAUCGACGCAGACCUGUAUUGCCUGUCAUAAUUGCGACUGUCUGUCAAGUAUAUUUGAUUUUAUGAUUGUACCUAGAGUUAACAAGUUCGAACGGUUCCGAAAAAUAUGUCAACAGACGUUCAGACGAUUCUACCAUUUUAUUCCUAGCGUCAUUGAGAAUCUUCAUGGCUAGUUAAGUAAGUUACUUGAAGGCUGAUGUUGAAUAAUAGGACCAGAAUUAUUUUAAUCUCCGAAUGCCAAUGUUAGUUACUUGACAAACGAUCGUAGUUUGCAUUAAAAUUCUUAAUUUGAAGUUGCGCAACAAACGAAAUUUCGCUCCGUUCGUUUAAAGCUUUAUUUUUGUUGGAGAAUAUUACAAAAGUGUUGCUCGAUGAAAUGUUAAGUGUUGGUUAAGAAAUAUUCCAAAAUUUAUUCGCACCUUUUUAACAUUAACUUUAUACCUUCGAUGUUAUAACUUCUUCUCUCUAACAUUUUUCGGACAAAGAACAGCAAGUACAUCCUAUACGUACAUUACAAACUCUUUAUCUCAACGAUACAAUAAGAUUACCCUUUGGUCAGAGAUUCCUAACAAACUGCUCUAUCCAUUAAAAAGAAAUCACAAGAGAAUAGGUUAAACUGUGACAUGAAAGAAACUUGUAGAAUCCAAUAACAUAAAUCACAAGCACCGUUAAUAUUCGCCCAAUAAAAUACGUUUGAAAAAACUCGUAAAGGCAACUUAAAAACGUCCUUGAAUGGAAGAUGACGAUGUCAAAGCUCAAACAACGAGAGGACAAAGGAAAUUUCUUCAUCGUGGCUCUUCGUAUCCCUUACUAUUUAGCAGUUCACGCAACCUCUUCAAACAUCCCGUAUACGUACAAAACGAACAUUCUUCACGACAUCGUACACUAAUCGUUUUCAAUGUCAUUCAUCGGAGUGGAAGGGAAAUUUCGAUCGUCGAAAGGCUGGCAUCCUUCCGUCCAACGAAUUCACGAGGUCGUCGAGCGAGGACGAAGGGACAACGGGGCUUCGCUUUGUUUCCUGACCGACCCAGAAACCCGAUUCAUCCUUCCUCUCAGUUCCCUUUUCUCUCUCUCUCUCUCUCUCUCUCCUCUCUACCGAUCUACUAUCGUAGGUGCGCGCACGAGUCGUUUCGCGGAGGCCUCGUUAGUGAAAGUUACCCGCGUUAGUGGGGGAGAAAGUGAAAGCCGUUUCCGGGAUAAGUAGUCGCGGUCGUCGUUGAAAUUAUAUCAACGAGGCGGACUGAUAUUAAUGGCUACCCGAUUACACGCGAUUCGCCGUCAUCUGUAUCGCGUAUUUACGACGAACUGAUAAUAACGCGGCCAUUAAUGUACCAUACCAUCGCAUCGUAUCGCUAUUUAACGAUGUUGUUACGACCGAAUAAAGUAAAAUGAUAUUACAUAGCGCGGUGUGUAUUUACAUAGAGUAAUUGACGGAAGUGCUGGAAUAUUUAUAGAAACCUUUUACGAAUAUGUUACGGGUGUUGUAUGAAACAUUUUAAGCACGAAGGGAAUUUCCUUUUUCUUUCUUUUUUUCUAUUGGUUAAAAAGAAGAUCAGCCUGCAGAAAAUGUACGUAGAAAUUACAAUACAUUUAUCGCAGACAUAUAUUUAAUAAAAGAAUAGAAUACGUAUAGAACGUUCGAAGAUGGUAUCCCACUGGGGGUAGCCAUCCACAUGUUAUAAUACUAUAUCACUAAGCUAUAAUAUUUUACCAAAUGUCCUACUGGACAAAUUGUAAAAUGCAAAUAAAUAAAUAAAAAAAAAAUAAAAAAAAAACGUAUAGAACGAAUAAAUGUUAAAUAUGGCCCCACCGAAUACUGACAUUUAUUAUGUAUUUAAGUAAUCGAUUAUCGAAAUACUUUUGUCAUCUAUGCGAAAUAUAUACUUGCACUGAAUAUGGUAGCUUAUAAUUCUUAUAUGUAUAUUUCCAGACCUGUUUGAAACUCUACCGACAUAGUCAUAACAGUCGAGUAUCAUUAUAAUGCUAAUGAAACUUCAAGAUGUUUUAUAUAACACAUUGAACAUAUGCAUCAUACAUAUAUAGAAGUUUUUUAUCGUACGUGUUUAAAUCUUUCAUGAGCCAGAAUAGUGAUAUUUAGAACUAUGUUUUGAAGCGCUGACUAUUGCUAUAAUAAUAUCUCUCUGAAUAUGGAUAGAAAUAUUACUAUUAAUAUUGCUAUUUAUAUGAUCGACACGUGGAAUCGCAAUUGCUGAUUGUCAAUUUAAUGAACGACAUACCUAAUUAACCGAAGAUAAAUUAUCGCCUAAAGUGAUACGUUCGCGCGAAAACUACGAUUACAAUCAUUAAUACCUGUCUGCCCUUUCGACGUCUAAUGCCUUUUUCUCUCGUGUGAUUACGUACAUUCAUUUCAACGAUGCAACAGUCAUUAAACAAGUUUACAGCCUGUACUGUCACACUUUCUAUCGUAAUUGCUUCAUCGAGUAUCAGAAAGAUUUAUUGUCCCGUGAUGCAUAUAUAUUGUUUUCGAAAUAGAACAAAUCAUGAUAAUCGAAUCUCAUUACAAUGCUAAUGAAAUCUCAAAAUGUCUCGUAUAACAUUGAUAAUAUAUUUAUAAAAGAUAUUUAAAAGUGGACGCAUACUUGCGCGAGCCUGUGCAUAUAUUAUAUUAUUAUUAUGUUAGUAUUAUAUUAAUCAAUUAAGAUCGUAGUGUGAGAAUGGCAUUAGGCGCGUUAAUCAAAAUUUUCCAAAUAUCAGAACCGUUGAACUUCAUCGUAACUCUUUCAUGGUCAGCUAUGUCUUUUAAAUUAAUUCGGAUAGUACAGAGAAACACGAGCUGACAUUAAUCAACAUUUUUUAAAUAUCAACGCCACCGAAUGUUCUCACAAAUAUCCCACGAUAAAUUUCCGAGAUUACCUCGACCCGUACAUGAAAAGAAAGAGUA